rnacentral:rRNA from 1 species
AUUGAACGCUGGCGGCAUGCUUUACACAUGCAAGUCGAACGGUAACAGGUUAAGCUGACGAGUGGCGAACGGGUGAGUAAUGCAUCGGAACGUGCCCGGUCGUGGGGGAUAACGCAGCGAAAGCUGCGCUAAUACCGCAUACGAUCUGAGGAUGAAAGCGGGGGCCCGUAAGGCCUCGCGCGAUCGGAGGGGCCGAUGUCAGAUUAGGUAGUUGGUGGGGUAAAGGCCCACCAAGCCGACGAUCUGUAGCUGGUCUGAGAGGACGACCAGCCACACUGGGACUGAGACACGGCCCAGACUCCUACGGGAGGCAGCAGUGGGGAAUUUUGGACAAUGGGCGAAAGCCUGAUCCAGCAAUGCCGCGUGCAGGAAGAAGGCCUUCGGGUUGUAAACUGCUUUUGUACGGAGCGAAAAGGUCCUUUCUAAUACAAGGGGCUCAUGACGGUACCGUAAGAAUAGGCACCGGCUAACUACGUGCCAGCCGCCGCCGUAA